rnacentral:rRNA from 1 species
AUUACCCAAUCCUGACACAGGGAGGUAGUGACAGUAAAUAACGAUGCGGGGCCGUGAGGCUUUGUAAUUGGAAUGAGAGGAGGAUAAAGAGAAGGUCGAGUAACGAUUGGAGGGCAAGUCUGGUGCCAGCAGCCGCGGUAAUUCCAGCUCCAAUAGCGUAUAUUAAAGUUGUUGCAGUUAAAACGCUCGUAGUCGGGUGAUUGGGCUUGGUUGCCUGGUUGGACGAAAGUCCAUACUGGACAGCCGGCCUAUUGGAGAUGGAUGGAGUGUAAUGCUCCAACACCAUCCUUUGUUACUGUGAGGAAAUUAGAGUGUUUAAGGCAGGCAGUUGCUUGAAUACGUUAGCAUGGAAUAACAAGACAGGGAUGCUUGGUCUUGUUGGUUUGACGAAACAUCAGAUUGAUAGGGCCAGUCGGGGGCAUUGGUAUUUGGCAGUCAGAGGUGAAAUUCUUGGAUUUGCCAAAGACCAGCGGGGGCGAAAGCAGUUGCCAAGGAUGGUUUCGUUGAUCAAGAACGAAAGUUAGGGGAUCGAAGACGAUCAGAUACCGUCGUAGUCUUGACUAUAAACGAUGCCGGCAGGGGAUUGGAUAGGAGCAGUAUUGCUUUAUCCAGCACCCAGGGAGAAAUCGUAGCGUUUGGGUUCUGGGGGGAGUAUGGUCGCAAGGCAGAAACUUAAAGGAAUUGACGGAAGGGCACCACCAGGAGUGGAGCCUGCAGCUUAAUUUGACUCAACACGGGAAAACUCACCAGGUCCGGACAUGGGAAGGAUUGACAGAUUGAGAGCGCUUUCAAGAUUCUGUGGGAGGUGGUGCAUGGCCGUUCUUAGUUGGUGGAGUGAUUUGUCUGGUUAAUUCUGAUAACGGGCGAGAUUCUCAUGGGUUGUUGGGUUGUAGUGGGAGACCAGUGCAAGCCGCCAACCCAGACACCCGGUGCGAAGCCGGGGGAAGCAGAGAGCAAUAACAGGUCCGUGAUGCCCAAUCACUAGU